rnacentral:misc_RNA from 1 species
GCACUUUGGGCCAGGAAAUUCAACACUAGUUCAUAAUCAAUUGCAUAUCAGAUAGGAAGAACAAAUCUUAAAAGUUAGGGGGAAGAAAGAGAUACCAGCAGAUACCACAGAGAUAUCUUGUCCCUUACACGCAUAAUACAUGAUAUCCUAUAUGCCACUGUUAUAAUAUCAGUCAGCUUAUCCUUUCAGUCUCUUUAUAUCCAUUUUUCGCUUUGAGCCAUAUGUCUCAAGUGCAAUAUGCAUAACAUAUUGCAACACUAUGUAGAACUCAUAGACAAUUUUUGAGUAGAUGAACUAAGGAGUAUGAUUUUGCCUCAAAGAGCAUA